AUUGAACGCUGGCGGCAGGCCUAACACAUGCAAGUCGAGCGGAUGAAGGGAGCUUGCUCCUGGAUUCAACGGCGGACGGGUGAGUAAUGCCUAGGAAUCUGCCUGGUAGUGGGGGAUAACGUCCGGAAACGGGCGCUAAUACCGCAUACGUCCUGAGGGAGAAAGUGGGGGAUCUUCGGACCUCACGCUAUCAGAUGAGCCUAGGUCGGAUUAGCUAGUUGGUGGGGUAAAGGCCUACCAAGGCGACGAUCCGUAACUGGUCUGAGAGGAUGAUCAGUCACACUGGAACUGAGACACGGUCCAGACUCCUACGGGAGGCAGCAGUGGGGAAUAUUGGACAAUGGGCGAAAGCCUGAUCCAGCCAUGCCGCGUGUGUGAAGAAGGUCUUCGGAUUGUAAAGCACUUUAAGUUGGGAGGAAGGGCAGUAAGUUAAUACCUUGCUGUUUUGACGGUACCAACAGAAUAAGCACCGGCUAACUUCGUG
rnacentral:rRNA from 1 species